rnacentral:rRNA from 1 species
ACUCAAUAGAUACCCCGGUAGUCCACGCCCUAAACGAUGCGAACUGGAUGUUGGGUGCAACUAGGCACUCAGUAUCGAAAGCUAACGCGUUAAGUUCGCCGCCUGGGGAGUACGGUCGCAAGACUGAAACUCAAAGGAAUUGACGGGGGCCCGCACAAGCGGUGGAGUAUGUGGUUUAAUUCGAUGCAACGCGCAGAACCUUACCUGGCCUUGACAUCCACGGAACUUUCCAGAGAUGGAUUGGUGCCUUCGGGAACCGUGAGACAGGUGCUGCAUGGCUGUCGUCAGCUCGUGUCGUGAGAUGUUGGGUUAAGUCCCGCAACGAGCGCAACCCUUGUCCUUAGUUGCCAGCACGUAAUGGUGGGAACUCUAAGGAGACCGCCGGUGAC